UGGCGAGGUGGUCGAGUGGUCUAAGACGCUGUGUUAAGGCCGCAGUCCUUCGGGGCGCGGGUUCAAAUCCCGCCCUCGUCAG
rnacentral:tRNA from 1 species